UACGUAGGGUGCGAGCGUUGUCCGGAUUUAUUGGGCGUAAAGGGCGCGUAGGCGGUUGGAUAAGUCUUGUGUGAAAUCUUCGGGCUCAACUCGAAGUCUGCACGAGAAACUAUCUGGCUUGAGUGUGGGAGAGGUGAGUGGAAUUCCUGGUGUAGCGGUGAAAUGCGUAGAUAUCGCUUGGGAACGCCAAAGGUGAAAACAGGUUGCUGGGGGUUGUGCCGACGGCUG
rnacentral:rRNA from 1 species